GUACACGACGGUCUGCGGUAGAUUCAGAAGUGAAGGAAUUGCAGAGAAAAGGAAGGAGCUGUAGUACAGUCAGGAGAAUUAUGAGCUUUUUCGCCAUCUCUGGAGACUGAGGUUCAGUGGAAUUGCAGGGUGACUGAGAUUGCAGUAUCGAUUCCCCUUUAUUGCGGAUGGGAGAUCCUAAAGGCAUAAAGUUUACUAGAAGCUCUGUUGACAUCCUCUUCCUUGAUCCAGGGGAAGGCCAACUGGCUUUAACUUUAUGUGAUUGGUUUAUGUAGUCCUUAUGCCUGAGGAGUCUCUCUUAUGGCCUCUGGUGGUUUUGUGCUUCUUGUGUUAUUUUCAGGUAAAUACAGAGAUCAGUGCUACUGUUUUCUUGACCUUAGGAGGCAGUGGCGUUUUAGAAGACUCCUCAAGCAAGUUAGAGUUUCUUGAAUCCAUGUGCCGAAUCUCUGUGUAGGCUUUAAGUUGUGACUUUCUGUUCGUUUGUUUUAUUUUAUUGGGCUCAAAAGCUUUUCUUGUUGUAAGCUAAAUUUAUAAUGGGUUUUAAUGCUUUUUAUUAAUGAA